GGGCCGUUAGCUCAGUUGGUAGAGCAUCUGACUUUUAAUCAGGUGGUCGCAGGUUCGAUCCCUGCACGGCCCACCA
rnacentral:tRNA from 4 species